CCUACGGGGGGCAGCAGUGGGGAAUAUUGCACAAUGGGGGAAACCCUGAUGCAGCAACGCCGCGUGAAGGAAGACGGUUUUCGGAUUGUAAACUUCUGUUCUUAGUGAAGAAUAAUGACGGUAGCUAAGGAGCAAGCCACGGCUAACUACGUGCCAGCAGCCGCGGUAAUACGUAGGUGGCAAGCGUUGUCCGGAAUUACUGGGUGUAAAGGGAGCGUAGGCGGUCGGAUAAGUUAGAGGUGAAAUCCCGAGGCUCAACUUCGGAAUUGCCUCUGAUACUGUUCGGCUAGAGAGUAGUUGCGGUAGGCGGAAUGUAUGGUGUAGCGGUGAAAUGCAUAGAUAUCGCGCAGAACUCCGAUUGCGAAGGCAGCAUGCCGGCUCCACACUGACGCUGAGGCACGAAAGCGUGGGUAUCGAACAGGAUUAGAUACCCUGGUAGUC
rnacentral:rRNA from 1 species